rnacentral:rRNA from 1 species
UACGGAGGGUGCAAGCGUUGUCCGGAAUCACUGGGCGUAAAGGGCGCGUAGGCGGUCUCUUAAGCGUGUGGUGAAAGCCCGGAGCUCAACUCCGGGUCGGCCGUGCGAACUGGGGGACUGGAGCUUGUCAGAGGCAGGCGGAAUUCCGGGUGUAGCGGUGGAAUGCGUAGAGAUCCGGAAGAACACCGGUGGCGAAGGCGGCCUGCUGGGACAGUGCUGACGCUGAGGCGCGACAGCGUGGGGAGCAAACAGG